GCCGUAGCUCAAUGGUAGAGCAUCUGCUUUAGAUGCAGAAGGUCCCAGGUUCAAACCCCGGCAUCUCCA